AUUGAACGCUGGCGGCAUGCCUUACACAUGCAAGUCGAACGGCAGCACGGGAGCAAUCCUGGUGGCGAGUGGCGAACGGGUGAGUAAUAUAUCGGAACGUGCCCAGUCGUGGGGGAUAACGUAGCGAAAGCUACGCUAAUACCGCAUACGAUCUAUGGAUGAAAGCGGGGGAUCGCAAGACCUCGCGCGAUUGGAGCGGCCGAUAUCAGAUUAGGUAGUUGGUGAGGUAAAGGCUCACCAAGCCGACGAUCUGUAGCGGGUCUGAGAGGACGGCCCGGCACACUGGGACGGAGACACGGCCCAUACUCCUACGGGAGGCAGCAGUGGGGAAUUUUGGACAAUGGGCGCAAGCCUGAUCCAGCAAUGCCGCGUGCAGGAUGAAGGCCUUCGGGUUGUAAACUGCUUGUGUACGGAACGAAACGGUGAGCUCUAAUACAGUUUGCUAAUGACGGUACCGUAAGAAUAAGCACCGGCUAACUACGUGCCAGCGGCCGCAGUAA
rnacentral:rRNA from 1 species